UACGUAGGGGGCGAGCGUUGUCCGAAGUUACUGGGCGUAAAGCGCGCGUAGGCGGUUUCUUAAGUCUGGGGUGAAAGGUUCAGCGCUCAACGUGAACAGUGCCUUGGAUACUGGGAAACUUGAGUUAGGGAGAGGGAAGUGGAAUUCCUGGUGUAGCGGUGAAAUGCGUAGAUAUCAGGAGGAACACCAGUGGCGAAGGCGGCUUCCUGGCCUAUAACUGACGCUGAGGUGCGAAAGCGUGGGGAGCGAACGGG
rnacentral:rRNA from 1 species